CGUUUCUUUUGCGUUUCAGUAUAUAAUUACAAAUAAACAUCUAUUCAUAUCUUAAUUACGCUAUCGUCAUUUGAAAACAAGCAGACAGAAUAAUUGUGGUUAAGAAACGCAUGAAGUAAUGAAUUAUGAUCAUCAUUUCCCUUUCAUUCCUGUUGUUGUUUUAAGUGUCUUGACUAGAUGGAUUUUUAUCUCUACCGAUUAGUUUUAUAUAUCUCCAUCAUUGGUUGUGGACUCUGCGCACCUCUUGAUAAUGUCCAAAAUUCUAAAUCUAUAUCCGUUGUCGUAGAUGAGAAAUCCAAGGACAUCGCUGAGUUGAAUGGCAUUCUUUUCUUCAAGCGGAGACCAAAGAAACCGCAACCAAUCAAAAGAGUAACGCCCCGCCCUAACGUAAAACCGACAGAGGCCCCUAAAACGACGACAUCCACCCCUGAUCCAACUACUACGCCUAUACAACAGAUACCUGGACCUGUGAAAAGAACAUUCAAGUUUAAAACGACAAUAACAAAAGUGUACCACGUACCACAAAAGGUCUUCGUGCGAGACUGGUAUAGAUUUAUUAGGAAUUUCAGUUGGUCGGAUUUUCAACGACGUCAGAAAAAUAACCGGUGUCCGUGGUGCCGUUGAGAGAUUUUGGGGACAUUUUGACUUUGAGUUUUAUUGUUUAAAUUUGUCCGUUAAAUUGAAAUAUAUUUUAAAAAGUGAAAUGUCUCGUCAAGUUGUAAUAUAAUUAUGCAAUUUGACAUCAAGCAGUUAUAUUUUUUGUAAACAUCUUAGUUUGAAUCAUAGACCUAAAUUUAGGUCUGUGUUUGAAUACAAGUUAUGUAAAUAACGUUGUUUCAGUCGUAAUAGACAAUGUGGUUACAUAAAUUAAAGAUUUUGCAUAUUGUUACAUUUUUCAAUAAAAUUAAUCGAAUGUAGGACAGAAUCAGCUCUAUU